rnacentral:rRNA from 1 species
ACUACAAGUGAAAAACUUAAAACUCAAAGGACUUGACGGUGUCCCAUAUCGACCUAGAGGAGCCUGUCCUAUAAUCGAUACCCCCCGCUCCACCCGACCCCAACUAGCAUACAUCAGCCUAUAUACCGCCGUCGAUCAGCCUACCCUAUGAAAGUCCAACAGUAGACACAAUAGCCCCCCCGCUAAUACGUCAGGUCAAGGUGUAGCAAAUGUUGUGGAAGAGAUUGGCUACAUUUUUUAUUAUAAAAAAUACGAAAUAUACCAUGAAACAGUAUAUGAAGGUGAAUUUAGUAGUAAAAUAAACAAGAGUGUUUAUUUUAACAACGCUCUGGGACGCGUACACACCGCC